AAGGAAUGUGCAUGCUUUAGCAAAACCCCAUAUUCUACCCUAAUCCAUGUAGGAAAAAUGCAUCCCUGCUUUCAACUUACCCAAACCUACAUUAAAACAGCUACCCUACAGCCAAACACCCUUCCUUCUACACCUUCAAACCCUAAUAUUUCCCCCAUUUUAGCAAAAAAUCCCUCAUGCCGCAGUUAGCCCCCUCCCCCGCCCACCACCGAUUUUUGAAACACAAUGGUUAGGACUACCAUCAACAGUCGAACCUUCCUCAUAUUGCUCCACUCCACGCGAACCCUCUUCUCCUCUUGCUCCACCACUCGCACCUUCCCACUCGACUUCACUGCAGCUCUUACAAAUUUCCCUUCCCCUACUGUCCUAUUCACCAAUCGCUUCACACCCUUCAUUUCCACCAACAUCCUUGGCUCCCGCCCUCUCUCAUCAUUGAACCCAUCGAUGGCCACAAGUUCCUUUGGCCCAACCAGUAUGCGUGUCUGACGAUACCACCUCCUCUGAGUUCGCUGACCCCGAUUUAGAGUUUAA
rnacentral:lncRNA from 1 species